rnacentral:rRNA from 1 species
GUCUUUUUGAUAAUAAUUUAAAGUCUAAUCUGCCCACUGAAGAUUAAUUUAAAGGGCUGCAGAAUUUUAACUGUACAAAGGUAGCAUAAUAAAUAGUUUUUUAAUUGGAAACUAGAAUGAAUGAUUGGACAAAAUAUAAUCUGUUUUAAUUUAAUUAAAUUUGAAUUUAAUUUUUUAUUUAAAAAGUUAAAAUUUAAUUAAAAGACGAGAAGACCCUAUAAAUCUUUAUAUAAAAUAUAUUUAUGUUAAUUAAAUUUUAAUUUAAAUAUUAUUUGUAUUUUAUUGGGGUAAUAUAAAAAUUUAAUUAACUUUUUAUUAUAAUUAAACUAAAAUUAAAGAAUUUAAUAUUAAUGAUCUAUUUUUAAUAAUUAAAAGAAUAAGAUACUUUAGGGAUAACAGCGUAAUUUUAAAUUUAAGUUCAAAUUAAAUUUAAAGAUUGCGACCUCGAUGUUGGAUUAAAAAAUAUUUUAAAUGUAAAAGUUUAAAUAUUAAGUCUGUUCGACUUUUAAAAUUUU